CUCUGAAUAUAUGAAGGAAAAAAGCCAAAAAAGAGCCCACCAAUACUAAUUCUAUAUGAACACCUUUGUUUUGUUUAUGUGGGUCAAUUCUAUGUGAAUACCUUCCAAAAAGCACAUUCUCUUAUACACCUCAUUAAGAAGGCAAAAAGCCAUUUGGUGGUCAUUAGAAAAGUAUAUGAAUAGCUAUUGGUUCAUUUGGAGCACCUAUAAACUCUCUCAAGUUCCCAUUCUAAGAUAUCGCUGUCUAUUCUAGUGGAGUUGUGUUGUUGUCAAAUGUUUUGUUUUUAGAGUGUCCCCGCCAUGGACCUAAGACCUUAAGCUCUCCUUAAACUUGUUUGCAAAGUUGAAAUUUGUACGGAUUUAAUGAACCAUCAAUGUAAAAUGGAUAAUGAACUUGUGCUGAUUCAAAAGUGGCCUGCAACAUGUUAUAAUUGAGGCUAGAGCUUAAUUUUGAAAUCCCCAACUCUUUUUUUUUUUUUUCCUUUCUUUCUUUUUGGUCUCUUUUUAACCUUUCCCUCAUUGCUGUUGAUUCGUAGCUUCUUAUGCAUACUUGUUGCUUAUGGUUUUUCAACUUGUGUAAGCUAUUAAUUGAUUUUGUGUCCAUUAAUACAAAAAUAAGUGAAUGCAGCAACACUGGGGGUGAACAUCUUCCAAUGCGCUCUCCAGAUCUUUGGGCUUGUGAGAAGCCUUUUUUUUUUUUUUUUCUUUUUUUGGAGAAUUCAUUCACAUGACAUCAUCUUGUUGGAAUUGUUGAGAUUGAUGAGGUGAAUUACAAGAGGGGAACAUAUCAAAGUAGAGGGUUUGGGUUUAUCACUAUGAGUACUGUAGAAGAAGCUGAGAAGGUUGUGGAGAUGUUCCACCAUUAUCUUUAUCUGAAGGCCAUUCAUGCUGUAUUGCAUCAGUUGUAGUCUUCGGCAUAGCCAUGAUGGGCCUCAACUUCUUGUAUAUUCAAUAUAUCUCUUUGCAUGUUCUGGUUGCACAAAACUCCUUAAUGUAAUCAGACUCAUGGGAUCGCAGGUCCUCAGCGUUUUCUAUGAUGAGUUGCUUGGUUGCCUAUUGUAAAUUAUUGGUGUACAAAUUCAUUACUAAAAUGUAUUCAAGUGAUACCCUAAAUAGGCUUAUUUUAUUAUUUUGCAAGUAUUUCGCAUGUUUGCAAAAAGGAAGAGGUUACAUUUUUCCUUUUAUGGGUCAACUGUAAACUAAUGUUGCAAGCUUGUAAAAUUCUCUUUGUUCU